rnacentral:lncRNA from 1 species
CAAAUUCAUAACCUAAAGCCAAGAGCUACCAAAUGUCUGCCCACAGGUAUGUGAAUCUUCACUUGGUGUUCCUAAAUGGAAGAGACACUAUCCUUCAUGUUUAUGAUAUUUACAGACCAGCAUUCAAGAGAGGAAAGCAUUUGCACAAAAUUCCCAGAACUGAUGAUUUCCAGAAGUGGGUUCAAAUUUAAAUCUUUACAUGAUUAUGUUAAUCAGGAGAACUACAAACAUCUUAUUUAUCAAUUCAAUAAAAAUCUAAAAAUAUUCUAA